rnacentral:piRNA from 2 species
UGACAUUCCAGACUUUGAUGACUAGCACC